rnacentral:rRNA from 1 species
UAUAAGACGUGGGAAUUAACGUUACCGGGGAAAACCGGAGACUAAUACGGAUAAUAUAUUGAACCGCAUGGUUCAAUAGUGAAAGACGGUUUUGCUGUCACUUAUAGAUGGAUCCGCGCUGCAUUAGCUAGUUGGUAAGGUAACGGCUUACCAAGGCAACGAUGCGUAGCCGACCUGAGAGGGUGAUCGGCCACACUGGAACUGAGACACGGUCCAGACUCCUACGGGAGGCAGCAGCU